rnacentral:rRNA from 1 species
UCGAGAAUCUUCGGCAAUGGACGAAAGUCUGACCGAGCGAUGCCGCGUGCGGGAUGAAGGCCCUCGGGUUGUAAACCGCUGUCAGUUGGGAGGAAGGCUUCGUGAAGAGCGAAGCUUGACCUAUCUUCAGAGGAAGUACGGGCUAAGUUCGUGCCAGCAGCCGCGGUAACACGAACCGUACGAACGUUAUUCGGAAUUAUUGGGCUUAAAGGGUGCGUAGGCGGCUUUGUAGGUGGGGUGUGAAAGCCCUCGGCUCAACCGAGGAAUUGCGCCCCAAACCACAAGGCUCGAGGGAGACAGAGGUAAGCGGAACUGAUGGUGGAGCGGUGAAAUGCGUUGAUAUCAUCAGGAACACCGGUGGCGAAAGCGGCUUACUGGGUCUCUUCUGACGCUGAGGCACGAAAGCUAGGGUAGCGAACGGGAUUAGAUACCCCCGUAGUCC